GAACUCACGCCACACUGACUUCGCCUCUUCCUCUUCACUUUUCAGUCUCUUCUUCUCUGUUGUCUGUCGCUCGGGCCGGCUCGGCUGCUGAUCUUCUUCUUUCCUUUUUUUUUCCUCUGCUGGUGUCACUCUUCUAAGUCUUCUUGGAGAAUCAGAUCUUGUCUUCAUUUCUUUUUUAAGAUCUGAUGAUUUCUGAAGCAGACGGAGCAAAGUAAGCACCGAAGCAAGCGGAGCAAAGAGACGGAAUAUAUGAAUGACUUAUUUCAACACCUUGAGGAAGAGAACAACUUGGAGUGUAUGCCGGAGGUAGAUCGUUAUUUUUUGGAUGGGUGUGAAGCAACAUCAAAAGAUUUUGACAUCUUACUUUGGUGGAAGGUUAAUGCACCCAAAUAUCCUAUCCUCGCAGAGAUAGCCCGUGAUAUAUUGGCCAUUCCUAUUUCCACAGUUGCAUCCGAGUCUGCAUUCAGCAAUGGAGGACGUAUAUUGGAUCCUUUUAGGAGUUCAUUAUCUCCAAUGACAGUUGAGGCCUUGAUUUGCACUCAAGACUGGUUAAAGGGCAAUCAAGACUUGGAGUACGAGAAGAUUAUUGAAAUCUUUGAUGAGCAUGUUAUUGAUGAUUGAGAGGAGAGCUACAAAAAGCCACAGACCAUGCUUGGAUAUGUUUAAUGUUUAUGAACUUUUGGGUUUGAACUUUUUAAUUCUUAAUAUGUUUAAUGUUUAUGAACUUUUGAUUGCUGGUUUGUUUAAAAAUGGUAGUUGAUCUUUGUAA